AAGGACUUAGGUUAAAUAUUAGACCAAGGGCCUUCAAAGCCCUAAGUGGGAGUGGGAGUCUUCCAGUCCUUG
rnacentral:tRNA from 1 species